rnacentral:rRNA from 1 species
CCCUUAGAUGUUCUGGGCUGCACGCGUGCUACACUGAUUAUUUCAACAAGUGUUUUAACUGGAGAGUUCGCGUAAUCCUGAAAUGUUAACGUGAUGGGAGUAGAGUAUUGUAUUUGUUAAUCUUUAACGAGGAAUUCCUAGCAAGUGUAGGUUUAUAAGUUGUUCUGAUUACGUCCCUGCCCUUUGUACACACCGCCCGUCGCUCCUACCGAUUGAUUGAUCCGGUGAAUUACAUAGAAUUUUGCGUUUUACAUGACGGAAGACGAAGUGUUUUAAACCUUAUCAUUUAGAGGAAGGAGAAGUCGUAACA